UACGUAGGGGGCAAGCGUUGUCCGGAUUUAUUGGGCGUAAAGAGCGUGUAGGCGGCCAUACAGGUCAGCUGUGAAAACUCGAGGCUCAACCUCGAGACGUCGGUUGAAACCGUAUGGCUAGAGUCCGGAAGAGGAGAGUGGAAUUCCCGGUGUAGCGGUGAAAUGCGCAGAGAUCCGGAAGAACACCAGUGGCGGAAGGCGGCCCGCUGGGCAGUGGCUGAC
rnacentral:rRNA from 1 species